UACGUAGGGAGCGAGCGUUGUCCGGAUUCAUUGGGCGUAAAGCGCUUUAAGGCGGUUCGCUAAGUCGCGUGUGAAACCUCCAGGCUCAACCUGGAGACGCCACGCGAUACUGGCGUGACUAGAGUUCGGUAGGGGAUCACGGAAUUCCUGGUGUAGCGGUGAAAUGCGCAGAUAUCAGGAGGAACACCGGUGGCGAAGGCGGUGAUCUGGGCCGACACUGACGCUGAGGCGCGAAAGCUAGGGGAGCAAACGGG
rnacentral:rRNA from 1 species